AGAGUUUGAUUAUGGCUCAGGAUGAACGCUGGCGGCGUGCCUAAUACAUGCAAGUCGAACGGAUACCUUCGGGUAGUUAGUGGCGAACGGGUGAGUAACACGUAGGUAAUCUACCUUAAAGACGGGGAGUAACAGAUGGAAACGACUGUUAAUACCGGAUAGUAUAUGAAGUCGCAUGAUUUUAUAUUUAAAGUUCCCACGGGAACACUUUAAGAUGAGCCUGCGGCGCAUUAGUUAGUUGGCGGGGUAAAGGCCCACCAAGACAAUGAUGCGUAGCCGGACUGAGAGGUUGAACGGCCACAUUGGGACUGAGAACGGCCCAGACUCCUACGGGAGGCAGCAGUAGGGAAUUUUCGGCAAUGGGGGAAACCCUGACCGAGCAACGCCGCGUGAUUGAAGAAGUAUUUCGGUAUGUAAAAAUCUUUUUUAGAGGACGAACGACCAUAUCAGGGAAUGGGUAUGGAGUGACGGUACUUUAAGAAUAAGCCCCGGCUAACUACGUGCCAGCCGCCGC
rnacentral:rRNA from 1 species